GAGAGCCGGAUGAGGGGAGACCUUCACGUCCGGUUCGGAGAAUUGAACUCCUAC
rnacentral:ncRNA from 1 species